ensembl:snRNA U1 U1 spliceosomal RNA
AUCUUAAACUGGUAGGGGAGAUGAUCAAGAAUGUGGUUCACCCAGGGUGACGUCUAGCCAUUGCUCUCCGGCCAGCUCACCCCUGCAAUUUUCCCAAAUGUGGGAAUCUUGACUGCAUAAUCUAUGGUGGUGGGGGACUGUGACUCAAAUUUUUUGCAAAUUUCCCCAC